rnacentral:rRNA from 1 species
CGGGGGGAGCAAGCGUUGUUCGGAUUUACUGGGCGUAAAGGGCGCGUAGGCGGCGCAACAAGUCACUUGUGAAAUCUCCGGGCUUAACCCGGAGCGGCCAAGUGAUACUGUCGUGCUAGAGUGCGGAAGGGGCUACUGGAAUUCUCGGUGUAGCGGUGAAAUGCGUAGAUAUCGAGAGGAACACCUGCGGCGAAGGCGGGUAGCUGGGCCGACACUGACGCUGAGGCGCGAAAGCCAGGGGAGCGAACGGGAUUAGAUACCCCGGUAGUCCUGGCCUUAAACGAUGGAUACUUGGUGCCCGGGGUUACAUAGUCCCCGGGUGCCGGCGCUAACGCAUUAAGUAUCCCGCCUGGGGAGUACGGUCGCAAGACUG